AAUAAAGCGUUUUAAAACGAUACGAUAUGCGCGCAAUUCGUUUGAUACGCCACAUUUAAUAGCGAGUAAUUGUUUCGAGGCGAUCGUCGGCAUCCGACUUAACGGCAAAUCAAUCACGUGGUCAUUAUCGUGUGCGGGGCGACCGGAAUUUCGUGGUUUUCUUUCCCAGUUUGCUACUUUCCUAUUGCAAUCUUUCGUCUAAUUCGACCGGCAUCAGUCAUACGUGAACUAGUUACCAAACUAUUCUAAUAAUCAUCAUCAAGGGUUAAACCGUCUUCUACUUCUGGAUAUUUUAUAAUAUAAUAUGAAUAUACGGUUAGCAUUGUUAUUUGUGGGGCUUGUGUCCACUGGUGCAUUUGCCGCCCCACCAGCAAGUGGACUUUCCGGCGGUAUGCCUUGUUUUGGUUCGCCGUGCGAUUUUAAUUCAGGACCUGUUUGCGUCGUGGACGAUUCUGGUGUUCCGAUGACAUUUUCAAGCAGCUGCAUGGCCGAAAUACAAUACUGCCGCUUUGGAAUAUAUUACGCUGUUGUAAAACAUGGGGAGUGUUGAAAUGUUGGCAUAUUUAAUAAACUGCCCCGGGGACGUCAAGAUGCACAAACAGAGGACGUAGAUCUAUUUGUGCACACGCUUUUUAGUUUUGGAUUAGAUGUACUCGUAGGUUUAUACAUAAUUGGUACAACUUGGGAGCAAUAAAAAGUUUUUUGUAGCGCGCUUAGCUUUUGCAAAUUGAAAAACAAGUUUGUUUUGUUUGCUGUAGAGGUAUACAAAAUUAUGGGUGUAAAUGUAGGUGCUACUUAUUUAUUACUUAUAUGUCGCGGGUCAGUAUUUUUUCGUAGGUCGACAGUGUACGGGUAUGUUGAAAUCGUAAUUAAGUUUUAAUGACGUAAUAAAGAGGCUAAAGCAUUUUAAUUAAA